rnacentral:snRNA from 1 species
UCCCCCCCCGCCCCCCAGGAGAGGACCGGUCUUCUGUCAAGGGUAUACGAGUAGCUGCGCUCCCCUGCUAGAACCUCCAAACAAGCUCUCAAGAUUAGCUAUAUUGACACCAACUAAAUCACACACACACACACACACACGUACAUGUAUGCACAUGUGUGUAUAU